UCAUAGUUAAGGUUUAUUAUCUAGACAUCAAGUGUCUACAAAAGUUAAAACAGUAGUCAAUUUGUUUAUAAUAGCGAGGUUUUCCUUUUUGGUAUCUUGCUUGAUAGGAGUGAAAGGCUCAUCAGUAGCAACCUCCAUAUUCGCACUUGAUUCUUUAGGAAUUUCAACAAUAAAAUUGAAAACACCAUCACCCACAUGCAAUGGUAUAUCAUGCCAAGGAGAAACCUACAGAGCAAACAUGCAAAUAAGUUUGGUCUUGACAACAAGGCAGCAAAUAAGGAUAAUGGUUUCUUUGUGGAGUAUAUGGAAUUUUCUCGGAUGUUUUGGGGCUGGUUAUGUAUCAGAUCUUUACCUCCAGAAAAGAGGCUGGCCAAGGCCAGUUUUUAUGAUUCUUACGCUAGCAACCAUAGCUUCUGGCCAUUUAGUUAUCGCAUCUGGAUUUCCUGGGAAUUUGUGUUUGGGUUCUGUUUUAGUUGGUGUUUGUUAUGGUUCUCAGUGGUCCUUGAUGCCCACCAUUACCUCGGAAAUUUUUGGUAUGCUGCAUUUAGGAACCAUUUUCAACACCAUUGAUGUGGCUAGCCCCAUCGGAUUUUAUAUAAUGUAUGUUCGGGUGGCUGUCUAUAUUUACGACAAAAAAGCAUCAGGGCAACGGACAUGUUAUGGCACUCAUUGUUUUAUACUUUCAUAUUGCAUAUUUGCUGUUGUAAGUCUUUUUAGUUCAUUAGUUGCAUUGAUAUUAUUUUUCCGGACAAAGAGGUUUUACACAAUGGUUCUUCUCACUAGAAUACAGCACUCGUCAAGAGGGUAGAUGUGCAUUCAAGCUCAGGCCACUGAUGUUAUGUCAUUUUGUCUCAAAUCUGCUUUGAUAGUUAUGCCAUUGUAUUGACUCUAGUAACUUGCAAGGCAUAUCAAUCUUCAAGUAGUCAAGACCCAUUACCCAAGUGGUAGCAGAUUUGCAAGUUACAUAUAAUCUUGGUUUUGUGUAAUAUAUCCUGGGGCAACUCUUUACUUAUAGAGAAUGUAAUUUACAU